rnacentral:rRNA from 1 species
CCUACGGGAGGCAGCAGUGAGGAAUAUUGGUCAAUGGGCGGAAGCCUGAACCAGCCAAGUAGCGUGCGGGAUGAAGGCCCUACGGGUCGUAAACCGCUUUUGCACGGGGAUAACACCCUCCACUUGUGGAGGUCUGCAGGUACCGUGCGAAUAAGGGCCGGCUAAUUCCGUGCCAGCAGCCGCGGUAAUACGGAAGGCCCGAGCGUUAUCCGGAUUCAUUGGGCUUAAAGGGAGCGUAGGCGAGCGUUCAAGUCAACCGUAAAAUUGCAAUUGAUACUGGCAGCCUUGAGUGCAGUAGAGGUAGGCGGAAUUCGUGGUGUAGCGGUGAAAUGCUUAGAUAUCACGAAGAACUCCGAUUGCGAAGGCAGCUUACUGAACUGCCACUGACAUUGAUGCUCGAAAGUGUGGGUAUCAAACAGGAUUAGAUACCCGGGUAGUC